rnacentral:rRNA from 1 species
AGUGAACGCUGGCGGUAGGCCUAACACAUGCAAGUCGAACGGCAGCACAGUAAGAGCUUGCUCUUACGGGUGGCGAGUGGCGGACGGGUGAGGAAUACAUCGGAAUCUACUUUUUCGUGGGGGAUAACGUAGGGAAACUUACGCUAAUACCGCAUACGACCUACGGGUGAAAGCAGGGGAUCUUCGGACCUUGCGCGAUUGAAUGAGCCGAUGUCGGAUUAGCUGGUUGGCGGGGUAAAGGCCCACCAAGGCGACGAUCCGUAGCUGGUCUGAGAGGAUGGUCGGCCACACUGGAACGGAGACACGGUCCAGACUCCUACGGGAGGCAGCAGUGGGGAAUAUUGGACAAUGGGCGCAAGCCUGAUCCAGCCAUACCGCGUGGGUGGAGAAGGCCUUCGGGUUGUAAAGCCCUUUUGUUGGGAAAGAAAAGCAGCAGGUUAAUACCCCGCUGUUCUGACGGUACCCAAAGAAUAAGCACCGGCUAACUUCGUG